UCAAGACCAAAUCUUAGAGAUGAUUAGUCUUUACUUUAACUUUACUAAAAAAAAAAGCUUUGUGGGGGGAGCUGGGGGAGGAUAUUAGAAUUUCCAGAAGACACAUGGAUGCGCUGUGCUGUGGACCUGAUGUUUGGAGUGUGCUAGUCCUCUUGGCUCCUUCCUGUAGGUGCCCGUCCUUCUGUUUCCCUCCUAGGUCUUGCCGUCUCUUCUUUUUUAUUGUCUCUUCUAUGCUGAGUAUCCCCUUCAGUAAUAUCUCCUUCAAACCAGUCCUUUCAGGCAAAGGCCCCACCUUUCUACAUCUUUCUCCUCCCUCAAACUCCAUUUAUUCUGAUGAACAGACUAGAUUGGAGGUUGACAUAUGUGUUUUAUCAGGACUUUUGAGGCCAGAAGCCUUUCCUGAUUCUUAACAGUUGUGCCAGUGAUCCUGCACAUACUUCCUUCACUGCCCUUACCACAUCACGUUGAAAUGAACUCUUAACAUUCUGUCUCUCCUCCCCUGCUUUGACUGUGGCAGACAUGUUUUAUUAAUAUUUGUAUUUCCAGGAACUACAACAGUGUUGGGUUGGAGUGAACUCAGCAAUGUAUCAAAGCCAGGAACACAGAAACAACUGCUUUUUCCAGCCACUCAACAUACCACCUGGAACGCAGCAUAAAGAGCAAAGAUUUUAAAGUCAGAGAAGCCUGGGUCUGUCAUCCAAUUAUUAUGUGCUUCUAGGUUUUUUUUAACCUACUUCACAGAGUUGUGAAGUUUUAAUGAGAUAAUAACCCAGUAAUUUCAGCUACUCCCUGAGGCUUUCAAAUUUAUCUAUAUGUUGAUGAUGUGUCCACAUAUCUCUUAGUGAGGAUCCCUCUGCUGGAUUCUGAGCCACCGGGAUGUCCUGGCCUGAUGACUCAGAGGCCUAUCAAAUGCAAGUUAGCCAAGACUCUCCUUCUACUUAACACAAAUCUUGGCUCACCUUUCCAGUGGACUAGAGAUGUUCCUCCCUCAUGUAUGUGAUCACACAAUUUUAAAAAUCAUAUUGAGAAGAAGUGAAAGCAUAUGCCCUAAACUAGGACACAAGAGAGUCGGCUGAGAUAGCCUUCCUUCCACAAAAUUUACAACCCAAAGGCUAGUUUUACAUGUUUUCUUUGCCGGCUGGAUUGUGGCUGAUCAUGGCCAAGUGUUUUGUUGCUGCCGGUUUGGCUCUUAAAGGAAACUGGAUCCUGACAACAAAGUUCAAGAAUUAUUGUCGGCUUCUCUGCAUAACUUAGAAGCAUCUCCAAAGGCAUAUGUACUAUUGCCCUGGCAGACAUAUAUACACGAGUACAGUGUAACACCUCCAUCCUCCAUGCUUGGCAAGUUAAUGUGGAUGUUCAUUUUUAUAGCCGCUAACUUAUUAGCUGUGGAUUACGUUGUCACUUUGUGUGUUACAUUUCCAAGCAUAAGAAGUGUGAGUGAGUUCUAAGACAUGUGAAAUGAAGGAUCAACUCGCAAAAGCUGGUCUUGAAGGCAUCAGAGAGUAGGGAUAAAGACUUCAUCAUGCGGUUCAUAGAGCCUGCCAAUUCUUUGAUUGACAGCUCUCUGUAUGGCAAGUCUUGAGGGAUUGGGUAUUUAAAUCUUAAUUACAAAAAAGUGUUACAGAAUACUAAAAAUCAUUCAAGAAAACUGGAAGGCGUAUAAUGUAGCAUUCCUGUAUUAAUCUCUUAUACAGAAUUAAAUUUGAUUGACAAGAUCCAUACAAAUUGUGUAAAGGAAUUUAGGAAAUCAGUACAAAACUGAAGGGAAAAUUUUAAGCCAUGUGCCAUGAAUGUGUCCUAUAUUAUAAAUGAAAUUGCUCCACAAUUGUAUACACAAAAAUAAAACAGAUUAAAAUAAGCUUUAAUAUAAGAUAUAAUCCUAACUGGCCUAGAGAACUAAAAUCUCAGUAACAGGAUUGAAACAAACAAACAUAAAAUACAAAUAGCUGCUUUGCUUAGGAGAAAAAGUCACAAGAAAUUAUUAUAGAAAAAAAAUUGGAUUCCAGAAGAUAAAAGUAAAACAACUGUAGAGAAAACAUUUUAAAAUAAAAAUAGAACAUUUAAGAACAUUGUUUACGCCCUUGGUGUUCUUAUAUAUGCCAUUCCCUUCUGAAUUCGUAAUUCAAUAAAUACUUAUUAAUACUUAUUACUCUGGUCCAAAUCCUUUGCUAAGUACAGAGAAUAUGUAGAUAAUGAUGGCAGAGUCAGAGUCCAGUGGAAAAGCACU